rnacentral:rRNA from 1 species
AUACCAGACUCCUACGGGAGGCAGCAGUGGGGAAUAUUGCACAAUGGGGGAAACCCUGAUGCAGCGACGCCGCGUGAGCGAAGAAGUACCUCGGUAUGUAAAGCUCUAUCAGCAGGGAAGAAGAUGACGGUACCUGACCAAGAAGCUCCGGCUAAAUACGUGCCAGCAGCCGCGGUAAUACGUAGGGGGCGAGCGUUAUCCGGAUUCACUGGGUGUAAAGGGAGCGUAGACGGCCAAGCAAGCCAGGGGUGAAAGCCCGGGGCCCAACCCCGGGACUGCCCUUGGAACUGCUUGGCUUGAGUGCGGGAGGGGCAGGCGGAAUUCCUGGUGUAGCGGUGAAAUGCGUAGAUAUCAGGAGGAACACCGGUGGCGAAGGCGGCCUGCUGGACUGCAACUGACGUUGAGGCCCGAAAGCGUGGGGAGCAAACAGGAUUAGAUCCCCCAGUA